AUUGAACGCUGGCGGCAUGCCUUACACAUGCAAGUCGAACGGCAGCACGGGAGCAAUCCUGGUGGCGAGUGGCGAACGGGUGAGUAAUAUAUCGGAACGUGCCCAGUCGUGGGGGAUAACGCAGCGAAAGCUGUGCUAAUACCGCAUACGAUCUAAGGAUGAAAGCGGGGGAUCGCAAGACCUCGCGCGAUUGGAGCGGCCGAUAUCAGAUUAGCUAGUUGGUGGGGUAAAGGCCCACCAAGGCGACGAUCUGUAGCUGGUCUGAGAGGACGGCCAGCCACACUGGAACUGAGACACGGUCCAGACUCCUACGGGAGGCAGCAGUGGGGAAUUUUGGACAGUGGGCGCAAGCCUGAUCCAGCAAUGCCGCGUGCAGGAUGAAGGCCUUCGGGUUGUAAACUGCUUUUGUACGGAACGAAACGGCCCUUUCUAAUACAGGGGGCUAAUGACGGUACCGUAAGAAUAAGCACCGGCUAACUACGUGCCAGCCGCCGCCGUAA
rnacentral:rRNA from 1 species